rnacentral:lncRNA from 10 species
UUGAAUGAUAGAAUAAAGAGAUACUGACUUCCCCGGAGCCUCCAAACUUGAGUAGUCACAUGCUGGGUUUGAGAAUGCCUGGACUCUGCCCGUCAAUUCUCUCCUUCUGGGGAAUAUGUUUGAAGGCAUUGGGAUCCGUGGAAGGCUUGUUAAAUCCAAAUAGAUUGGUCCUACUCCAUCCGCAGAGUUGCUGACGAGGUGCGUCCAGGCCUUCUCCUCACCUCUCAGGGAGAUAUACCAUGCAGUGCCUUCAGUUAUGGUGUUGUGACUGAGGAUGCUUCGGUCAGACAUGUCCCUGAAAACCUGCAUAGAGCUGCACUUCAAGGGAAGUUAUUGAAUAUGUCCUAUCCAACUAAAACAAGGAAAUGAUGAAAAAAAUAAAAUCACUUUCCAGAGGCCUCAGGGCUAACUGGAGACAGAGCUCAGACUGCAACUGAGAAAAGUUGGACUCCAAAACCUGUACUCUGAGCUUUACUGCAUGAGAAAGUUAUUGAAAUGUGCCUUGUGACAUUCAGAAUAAGUGACUUUUCAGAGGUCUCAGAGUCAGUAAGAGACAGAACUCAGAUUGUAACCAAGAAGAGCUGAACUCCAAACUUCUGUGUCCGGAAUUGGUGGGUUCUUGGUCUCACUGACUUCAAGAAUGAAGCGGCAGACCCUCGC